GAAGAACCCAUAGUGAGUGGCACCUGAGGUCAAGAGUGGAAGGCACUGCUUCUUCCCAAAGGGUCUGAAAAGUAAGAACAGAAAACAUGGAAAACAGAAUGAAGAAGCUUAGCAGCUGCUGUCCACAGGAGUGUUUGACUAGAAGAUGAAUAGAAAUAAAAGGUUGUGAUUAAUCUUGGAA